AUUGAACGCUGGCGGCAGGCCUAACACAUGCAAGUCGAGCGGAUGAAGGGAGCUUGCUCCUGGAUUCAGCGGCGGACGGGUGAGUAAUGCCUAGGAAUCUGCCUGGUAGUGGGGGAUAACGUCCGGAAACGAGCGCUAAUACCGCAUACGUCCUGAGGGAGAAAGUGGGGGAUCUUCGGACCUCACGCUAUCAGAUGAGCCUAGGUCGGAUUAGCUAGUUGGUGGGGUAAAGGCCUACCAAGGCGACGAUCCGUAACUGGUCUGAGAGGAUGAUCAGUCACACUGGAACUGAGACACGGUCCAGACUCCUACGGGAGGCAGCAGUGGGGAAUAUUGGACAAAGGGCGAAAGCCUGAUCCAGCCAUGCCGCGUGUGUGAAGAAGGUCUUCGGAUUGUAAAGCACUUUAAGUUGGGAGGAAGGGCAGUAAGUUAAUACCUUGCUGUUUUGACGUUACCAACAGAAUAAGCACCGGCUAACUUCGUG
rnacentral:rRNA from 1 species